rnacentral:rRNA from 1 species
UGGGGAAUUUUGGACAAUGGGCGAAAGCCUGAUCCAGCAAUGCCGCGUGUGUGAAGAAGGCCUUCGGGUUGUAAAGCACUUUUGUCCGGAAAGAAAUCCUUGGCUCUAAUACAGUCGGGGGAUGACGGUACCGGAAGAAUAAGCACCGGCUAACUACGUGCCAGCAGCCGCGGUAAUACGUAGGGUGCAAGCGUUAAUCGGAAUUACUGGGCGUAAAGCGUGCGCAGGCGGUUUGCUAAGACCGAUGUGAAAUCCCCGGGCUCAACCUGGGAACUGCAUUGGUGACUGGCAGGCUAGAGUAUGGCAGAGGGGGGUAGAAUUCCACGUGUAGCAGUGAAAUGCGUAGAGAUGUGGAGGAAUACCGAUGGCGAAGGCAGCCCCCUGGGCCAAAUACUGACGCUCAUGCACGAAAAGCGUGGGGAGCAAAACAGGAUUAGAUACCCUGGUAGUCCACGCCCUAAAACGAUGUCAACUAGUUGUUGGGGAUUCAUUUCCUUAGUAACGUAGCUAACGCGUGAAGUUGACCGCCUGGGGAGUACGGUCGCAAAGAUUAAAAACUCAAAGGAAUUGACGGGGUCAUAGCUGUUUCCU